CUCCUUUGCCUGUCAAGCCCUAUGUUUGAACUCAUUCCAGAAUACUGGAUUUACUUUUCACGAAGAAACAGUACCUGACUGGACUGCAUUUUUCUUUCUUUCCUUAGUCACCAGAAGACUGGAAACAAUAUUCUUUUGAUGAUUAGCACACUCCCAGUAAUGCAGCRUGCCUGCACACAAGUGUGACUCUUGCGGUGGAGAAGGAAGAGCAACUUUGCUACCUGUGAAACGAAGACUACUUAGGAGUGACUUGAUGACUUCAGGCAUGUAAAUGCUCAAAAACAAGAAGAAAGGGCCACCUGCAUUGCAUUGCAUUCUUCUGGAGACGAGUCAGGGCUGAAGUCCCACUGAAAGACCUACCCAUGACACGGGAAGAGUCUCACCUACCGCCACUUCUCUAGAGACUUCGUCCUGCGUUGAGGUUGAGUGAAGAAGACGAUGGUGUUUCCUGAGCUGACUGUUUUAGUGAAUCCACCUACCAGCCUCUAGACAGAGAGGUGCUGUGAGGCCGGUUCCCAAAGGAUCUACCAGUGGUGGUGAAGUCCCUUCUCCUCUGAUCUACAGACAACAGAAGCUGUUGUCCCAAUUCAUGGUUGCUCUUUCCCACUGGCGUGCAGCCUAAGAGAGAAUUGUUUUUAGCUAAAAUUGAUCUCACCUGUGAAUUUCACACUGUAACUUCACAGGCACUGCUGUGUCUCUAAGUGACCGUGGAGUGCAGUCACUUGUGGGGGUCCUUUAAAGAGAAUGAGGAGCAGCCAAGUGGACUCAGUGUUGAAUAAUCACAUAAUAUGGAGGUAAGAACUAGACAGAGAAGCAUAAGAAGAAGUUAUC
rnacentral:lncRNA from 1 species